rnacentral:rRNA from 1 species
AACCGGGGGAACUGAAACAUCUAAGUACCCGAAGGAAAGGACAUCAACCGAGACUCCGUCAGUAGCGGCGAGCGAACGCGGACCAGGCCAGUGGCGAUUGGGAGACAAGCGGAACAUUCUGGAAAGGAUGGCCAUAGUGGGUGACAGCCCCGUACGCGUAAUGCAACCAAUCGUCCUCGAGUAAGGCGGGACACGUGAAAUCCUGUCUGAACAUGGGGGGACCACCCUCCAAGCCUAAGUACUCCUCAGCGACCGAUAGCGAACCAGUACCGUGAGGGAAAGGUGAAAAGCACCCCGACAAGGGGAGUGAAAUAGAACCUGAAACCGGAUGCCUACAAACAGUUGAAGCCCAAGGU